rnacentral:rRNA from 1 species
GACGAACGCUGGCGGCGUGCUUAACACAUGCAAGUCGAACGCUGAAGCUCAGCUUUUGUUGGGUGGAUGAGUGGCGAACGGGUGAGUAACACGUGAGUAACCUGCCUCCUUCUUUGGGAUAACGCCCGGAAACGGGUGCUAAUACUGGAUAUUCACUGGUCUUCGCAUGGGGGUUGGUGGAAAGGGUUUUUCUGGUGGGGGAUGGGCUCGCGGCCUAUCAGCUUGUUGGUGGGGUGAUGGCCUACCAAGGCUUUGACGGGUAGCCGGCCUGAGAGGGUGACCGGUCACAUUGGGACUGAGAUACGGCCAGACUCCUACGGGAGGCAGCAGUGGGGAAUAUUGCACAAUGGGCGCAAGCCUGAUGCAGCGACGCCGCGUGAGGGAUGGAGGCCUUCGGGUUGUGAACCUCUUUCGCUCAUGGUCAAGCCGCAACAAUGGUUGUGGUGAGGGUAGUGGGUAAAGAAGCGCCGGCUAACUACGUG